CCUACGGGCGGGCAGCAGUGGGGAAUAUUGGACAAUGGGCGAAAGCCUGAUCCAGCCAUGCCGCGUGUGUGAAGAAGGCCUUCGGGUUGUAAAGCACUUUCAGUGGGGAAGAAAGCCUUGGGGCUAAUACCCUCGAGGAAGGACAUCACCCACAGAAGAAGCACCGGCUAACUCCGUGCCAGCAGCCGCGGUAAUACGGAGGGUGCGAGCGUUAAUCGGAAUUACUGGGCGUAAAGCGCGCGUAGGCGGUCUGAUAAGCCGGUUGUGAAAGCCCCGGGCUCAACCUGGGAACGGCAUCCGGAACUGUCAGGCUAGAGUGCAGGAGAGGAAGGUAGAAUUCCCGGUGUAGCGGUGAAAUGCGUAGAGAUCGGGAGGAAUACCAGUGGCGAAGGCGGCCUUCUGGACUGACACUGACGCUGAGGUGCGAAAGCGUGGGUAGCAAACAGGAUUAGAUACCCCGGUAGC
rnacentral:rRNA from 1 species